rnacentral:rRNA from 1 species
GACGUAGGGCGCGAGCGUUGUCCGGAUUUAUUGGGCGUAAAGGGCUCGUAGGCGGUUUGUCGCGUCGGGAGUGAAAACCUCGGGCUUAACUCGGGGCUUGCUUUCGAUACGGGCAGACUAGAGGUAUGCAGGGGAGAACGGAAUUCCUGGUGUAGCGGUGAAAUGCGCAGAUAUCAGGAGGAACACCGGUGGCGAAGGCGGUUCUCUGGGCAUGAUCUGACGCUGAGGAGCGAAAGUGUGGGGAGCGAACAGG